AUGGCUUUUGUCUCCGUGUCAAGUUGGGUUUAUGAAAUUAGAAGUUGGGUUUAUGAAAUUAGAAGUACGGGUCAAUACCGGUCGGUCAUCUUCUUAGGGUUUGAAAUAGAAAAGCACGGGUGAGAACAUCUGAAGACUGGAGAUUAAUUCAUCUUCUUCAAUUGCUUGAAUCCAACGGAGCGCCUCGUUUCUACUCUCGCAACCCAUAGUAAUGAAAUCCUCAUGGUUCUUUCAAGGUGCCUACCCUCGAUUCGUCUCAGGCCUGGUGUCUGGGAAUAUCUAAGAGUCAACGUCAAUGCCCUCGCCGUCGAGGAGUCUGUUGGUUUAUGAUCUUAAACAGUUUAGCUAAAUGUUUUAGUGUUGAUUAACUGAGACCAUAUUGUUUGUUGGUUUAUGAUAUAAAACAGUUUGACAAGGAGGCAUUAUUAUUGAGGUCAGAUCUUUCUAUGAAAAUAAAUAAGCCGCAAACACAGUUUUUUUUUUGCAAAACAUUGACGGCUAGUGAUACGAGCACUCAUGGAGGAUUCUCUGUACCUCGCCGAGCAGCUGAAAAAAUAUUCCCCCCUCUGGUGAGCUAAUUUCCUUAUCGUGUAUUUGUAAAAUCGAGUUUGUUGCUAGUUGAGGCGCAGGUCUGCGCAUUCUGUGGCAUAAGGCACGGGUCAUUAUGUGGCUAUUAUUUUGUGUUUAUGUUAUGCAUUUUGUUCAUUUGUAUUAUGACACUUGAUAAAAUAAGAAGCAAAGAUACAUAACUUGAAUCAAA
rnacentral:lncRNA from 1 species